GACGAACGCCGGCGGCGUGCCUAAUACAUGCAAGUAGAACGCUGAAGAGAGGAGCUUGCUCUUCUUGGAUGAGUUGCGAACGGGUGAGUAACGCGUAGGUAACCUGCCUGGUAGCGGGGGAUAACUAUUGGAAACGAUAGCUAAUACCGCAUAAAAUUGAUUAUUGCAUGAUAAUUAAUUGAAAGAUGCAAUUGCAUCACUACCAGAUGGACCUGCGUUGUAUUAGCUAGUUGGUGAGGUAACGGCUCACCAAGGCGACGAUACAUAGCCGACCUGAGAGGGUGAUCGGCCACACUGGGACUGAGACACGGCCCAGACUCCUACGGGAGGCAGCAGUAGGGAAUCUUCGGCAAUGGGGGGAACCCUGACCGAGCAACGCCGCGUGAGUGAAGAAGGUUUUCGGAUCGUAAAGCUCUGUUGUAAAGAGAAAGAAACCGGGGUGUG
rnacentral:rRNA from 1 species